GCCCGGCUAGCGCAAUGGUAGCGCGUAAGACUUCUACUUUCUGUUCUACCUUUCUUCUCUCUUAUCUGAAAGAAAUUUAAAGGAAAAAGUGCAAUCUUAAGGUUGCGGGUUCGAGUCCCGCGUCGGGUU